GGGGCUGUAGCUCAGCUGGGAGAGCGCCUGCCUUGCACGCAGGAGGUCAGCGGUUCGAUCCCGCUCAGCUCCACCA
rnacentral:tRNA from 15 species